CCCGUUUGAUAAAUUCAAGAAUGGACUUGCUACUUCGCAGUUUUUAACAGCCUUGCAGCAAUUUCCUAUGGCGCUGACUCCUGUCUUGUGCCAUUUUGAGAAAAAGUUAUCUGCUGUGGACAUCGGAAAUCUCUUCCGACCAGAGCUUAGUCCAGAUGGCAGCAACCAGAGAGCCCAGGAGAACAAGACAACAAGUUUCUGGGCCGACUACCUUCUUGACUGUGAAGAACAUAACAGUGAGGUGACCCUGGAGGAUGUCCUUAUGUUUGCCACAGGUGUGCCAUCUAUUCCUCUUGCUGGCAUGGACCCUCAGCCAUGUCUUGAAUAUAUUUACACCUCAAAAUUCCCUAUGGCAA